UUCGCCAUGUUGGCCAGGAUGAUCUCGAGCUCCUGACCUGAAGUGAGCCACCUGCCUCACCCUCCCAAAGUGCUGGGGUUACAGGCGUGAGCCACAGCACCCGACCAGAAUAUCAUUUUUUAAUCUAGCAUUUGUGACUACCAAGGUGCCCAUGGGUGUGUCUCCACAGGCACCGCCCUCUUCGUGGGGAGAGUGGGUGGGGAGUUUCUGUGCUCCCUCCACCCACCCCCAUCAUCCGGAAACUUGCACUCCUGCACACGUGGUGGAGAAGGCGCCAUUUUGGCCCAGGAGGCUACUGGGUAAGAUGUUCCUGAGGCUCUGCUCAGGGCCAGGAGAUGAGGCCCAAGGGCUAGACUUGGGACCCCAGAGACGUACCACACCGGACUGCCCGACUGGAGUGAGCUGGUGCCCGAGAGCAAGAGCACAGCCCGUUGCGGGGCCUGUGUGAACCCGCAGGGCGGCUCCGCCAUGGCACCAGGGGCCGGUCCCGCUCGGUUCAGACACCAGAGCCGAGAGGGGGCUGUGCCAAGACCACACACGGCACCAGGGGCCAGUCCCGCUCGGUUCAGACACCAGAGCCGAGAGGGGGCUGUGCCAAGACCACGGGCCCUCCAAGAAAGCCCCGGAGCCAGCCAGCAGCGCCCAGGAACUGCCGAAAGCUUCGGCAAGGUAGGAAAGCUGCUUCUACCCUACCACUUGGGGAGUGGCACCACCUGAUGGAAGAAAUCGGUCUUAGGUCUUCUCACCGUGGCUUGAGAAUCACAUAAUCUCUUUGUGCCUGACUUUCCUCAACCCUAAACAGGGCCAGCUUGCCUUAUUCAUGAACUGUGUUGUAACAGCACUUAGUCAACUGCAGACGGCUUUUGCAAAUAUUAGAUGCUACUACCAUUGCUGAUGUGGUAUUUUUUAACACAUGAAGUGAAGUGAAAUGUGUUCAUGAUAUUCUCUGUGCAAUGAUUGAUGACCUCUUCUCAUGCUUCUGAGGUCAAAACAAUCAAUGCUGCCCAACAGCUGUUAGGGACGGAGACUCCCCUCCUCUCCAGCUUGAAACCUGAAGCUGCUGCCCACAGCUAACAAGCACGUGUGCCACUCAGUGACCUCUUGGCCUUCCCAGCAAAAAUAUCCUAUUUUGGCAUCCAGGCUUGACCCACAGUAGGAAGACUUGGCACUACUGUACAUAUGAUCUCAUUUAAGGAGUAGGAAGAUUAACAUGCCAGCUGAUGUUUGGAUGGGAAAAGUUCUUUGAGUUACACAGUUUGAAACAGAAACAGCCAGGAGACUUGGGACUUAAAUCACAACCAUUAUAUAAGUAAUGCGUGCUGUUCCCUGAGCGAAACGCUGCCCUUUGGCAGAGGUAGGCGGGAGAAGAGUGUGGGAAGUGAAGAAGCUCCUGAGGUGACAAAGUGAAUUGCACCAGAGAGAAGGGGGAUAAAGCAAGCUUCCCAGGAACUGGCACAGGAACAUCUAGCUGUCCCCAGAGGACUGGACAAGAAAGGCCUCUCUUGCAGGGAUGAGAUUAAAAUACAAUCAGGAGCCACUGUGUUACUUUAUCUCCUUUGAUAUGCUGCCUUGUCUGUUUAAGGGUGUCUUUGGGACUAGUAAGUCGCUUUCGCUAAAGGACUUGUUCCCUUUUCACUCACAGACACGCCCCUGCAGCUGCACCUGGCAGAAUAGCUUGAGUUUCCCUGGAAACUCUCCGAGAAAGGAAUAGAGGCAGAAUUGCCCUUUGUGAUCUCCUAAGAAUGGGGUCCAUGUUCAUCCAAAGAUGGGAAUGAAAAAUUCAUCCGUUUUUAACCUGUUCGGCCAAAUUCAUAUGUGGUUCAAUCCUCUGGGAUAUGGUGAAAGCUGACCCUUGAAAGCCCCUAACAUUAAAAAACAAGGAGCCAAAUGCAGACAGACUUCAGGACCACAGAACGCCUCCAUGAGAAUUAUCAGCAAAGCAAUCAUCUCACCCUCCUGACUUCAGGAGAAAACAUGAGUCAGCAAAGACUAAAUUGUUUUAAAAAUGGAAUCUUUGCAAAAUGGAAAAGCCAAAUGAAUUCACGCUGUAAAUCAAUGGACCUUUAAGGCACAGCAAGCAUUAUGGAUGACAUUAAUGAAAGACCUGUGUCGGCAUAGUGUGCUGCUGGAAAGGUCAGGGUCACCAUAGCCACUGCCCGACCUUAAAUAUAAUCCAGAAAUUGAAUAUGUACAUAAAAUAGUUUCUAGAGCCCCACAGGUGAAGCAAAGGUGAGUGCUACUGCUCUUUUGUGUGUGCUUAAUUAAAGAUUUUGAUGUAAAAUGUCAAAUAGAAAAGAUAGCGUAUUUCAGAUUUAAUAAGAAAAACAUAUAAAUUAUUACCCCAGUGUUCAAAUCCCUCUAUGUCAUACAAAUGUUUCUUGUCUACUUUGCUGAAAGUUCCUCAAGAAUAUCUUAUUCACCUUUGACUCCCCUACUUAGGUUUAUGGAUACAGAAAGUAUUCAAUAAAGAGUGAAAAAUUUA